UGGGGAAUAUUGGACAAUGGAGGGAACUCUGAUCCAGCAAUUCUGUGUGUGUGAAGAAGGUUUUAGGACUGUAAAACACUUUUAGUAGGGAAGAAAAAAAUGACGGUACCUACAGAAGAAGCAACGGCUAAAUACGUGCCAGCAGCCGCGGUAAUACGGAAGGUUCGGGCGUUAUCCGGAUUUAUUGGGUUUAAAGGGAGCGUAGGCCGUUUGGUAAGCGUGUUGUGAAAUGUAGGAGCUCAACUUCUAGAUUGCAGCGCGAACUGUCAGACUUGAGUGCGCACAACGUAGGCGGAAUUCAUGGUGUAGCGGUGAAAUGCUUAGAUAUCAUGAAGAACUCCGAUUGCGAAGGCAGCUUACGGGAGCGCAACUGACGCUGAAGCUCGAAGGAGCGGGUAUCGAACAGG
rnacentral:rRNA from 1 species